GUUAUAAUGGCCAAAAUCAAGAAACAAAAGACAACAUAUGUUGGCCAAGAUUUGGGGAAAAGGGCAUAGUUCUUCCUUUCUGGUGGGAGUCAAACCGGUACAACCACUAAUCAUUGAUCUGAUUCCUCAGGAGUUGGGAAUCAAUCUACCUCAAGGUGUAACUAUACAACUCUAGGGUACACACCAGAAGACCUCUAUAUCCUACAACAGAGACACCUGAUCAUCCAUGUUCAUUGCUGUUCUAUUCAUGAUACCCAGAAACUGGAAACAGCCCAGAUGUCCAGCAACCGAUGAGAACACAAUGAGAAGACGACACGUUUGCAUGAUGGGAUAUCAUUCAACUGUUCAGAAAAAAGGAAGUUAUGAAAUUUGCAGCAAGAAGAGCAGUGACUCACAAGACGUUGGUAUUAUGGAACUCUGGUGCCUGCCUGGGAUAUGGCCAGUGGCACAGGACAAACACUGCCCUGAGACCUGGAACUUCUCGGGAAGAAUGUCUCUAGGUGGUAGAGGCAUUUCCUCCAAUUCCUCCAAUGCAGACCCUGUUCUCAGUUCAAUGGUUGGCUGCGAGCAUUCCCCCCAAAUGGCUGUUGUCUUACGUUCCACUGUUGGGAUGCAUGUUGUACCCUGAGUGAAGCCCAUCUUUGCUCUCGCCCUUAGAGGAGCCUUUCAUUGUGCUGUCUUGUAUUCUCCUGACUGUUAAGACAUAUUAAGCCAAUUUCCUCCUGUUUGCUUCUCAAGAGGAAGAAUAGCUAAUUAGCUGUUUCGGUGAAGUAAUUCAUUAGAUCUCUUUUUCCACGGUCCAUAAUAAAGCAUGCCUUUGCCUUUC
rnacentral:lncRNA from 1 species